rnacentral:rRNA from 1 species
UACGAGGGGGGCGAGCGUUGUUCGGAAUUACUGGGCGUAAAGGGGGCGUAGGUGGUUUGUUAAGUCUGCUGUGAAAUCCCCGGGCUCAACCUGGGAAUGGCAGUGGAUACUGGCAAGCUAGAGUGCGGUAGAGGGUAGUGGAAUUCCCGGUGUAGCAGUGAAAUGCGUAGAUAUCUGGAGGAACACCGAUGGCGAAGGCGGCAUUCUGGACUGCAACUGACACUGAAAAACGAAAGCCAGGGGAGCAAACGGG